rnacentral:rRNA from 1 species
GGUUAAGCGACUAAGCGUACACGGUGGAUGCCCUGGCAGUCAGAGGCGAUGAAGGACGUGCUAAUCUGCGAAAAGCGUCGGUAAGGUGAUAUGAACCGUUACAGCCGGCGAUGUCCGAAUGGGGAAACCCAGUGCAAUUCGUUGCACUAUCGUUAACUGAAUACAUAGGUUAACGAGGCGAACCGGGGGAACUGAAACAUCUAAGUACCCCGAGGAAAAGAAAUCAACCGAGAUUCCCCCAGUAGCGGCGAGCGAACGGGGAGCAGCCCAGAGUCUGAAUCAGCUUGUGUGUUAGUGGAACGGUCUGGAAAGUCCGACGGUACAGGGUGAUAGUCCCGUACACCAAAAUGCACAGGCUGUGAACUCGAAGAGUAGGGCGGGACACGUGGUAUCCUGUCUGAAUAUGGGGGGACCAUCCUCCAAGGCUAAAUACUCCUGACUGACCGAUAGUGAACCAGUACCGUGAGGGAAAGGCGAAAAGAACCCCGGCGAGGGGAGUGAAAAAGAACCUGAAACCGUGUACGUACAAGCAGUGGGAGCACCUUCGGGUGUGACUGCGUACCUUUUGUAUAAUGGGUCAGCGACUUAUAUUCUGUAGCAAGGUUAACCGUAUAGGGGAGCCGCAGGGAAACCGAGUCUUAACUGGGCGUUAAGUUGCAGGGUAUAGACCCGAAACCCGGUGAUCUAGCCAUGGGCAGGUUGAAGGUUGGGUAACACUAACUGGAGGACCGAACCGACUAAUGUUGAAAAAUUAGCGGAUGACUUGUGGCUGGGGGUGAAAGGCCAAUCAAACCGGGAGAUAGCUGGUUCUCCCCGAAAGCUAUUUAGGUAGCGCCUCGUGAAUUCAUCUUCGGGGGUAGAGCACUGUUUCGGCUAGGGGGUCAUCCCGACUUACCAACCCGAUGCAAACUACGAAUACCGAAGAAUGUUAUCACGGGAGACACACGGCGGGUGCUAACGUCCGUCGUGAAGAGGGAAACAACCCAGACCGCCAGCUAAGGUCCCAAAGUCAUGGUUAAGUGGGAAACGAUGUGGGAAGGCACAGACAGCCAGGAUGUUGGCUUAGAAGCAGCCAUCAUUUAAAGAAAGCGUAAUAGCUCACUGGUCGAGUCGGCCUGCGCGGAAGAUGUAACGGGGCUAAACCAUGCACCGAAGCUGCGGCAGCGACACUAUGUGUUGUUGGGUAGGGGAGCGUUCUGUAAGCCUGCGAAGGUGUGCUGUGAGGCAUGCUGGAGGUAUCAGAAGUGCGAAUGCUGACAUAAGUAACGAUAAAGCGGGUGAAAAGCCCGCUCGCCGGAAGACCAAGGGUUCCUGUCCAACGUUAAUCGGGGCAGGGUGAGUCGACCCCUAAGGCGAGGCCGAAAGGCGUAGUCGAUGGGAAACAGGUUAAUAUUCCUGUACUUGGUGUUACUGCGAAGGGGGGACGGAGAAGGCUAUGUUAGCCGGGCGACGGUUGUCCCGGUUUAAGCAUGUAGGC